CCUACGGGUGGCUGCAGUGGGGAAUAUUGCACAAUGGGGGAAACCCUGAUGCAGCAACGCCGCGUGAAGGAAGACGGUUCUCGGAUUGUAAACCUCUGUUUUUAGUGAAGUAUAAUGACGGUAGCGAAGGUGCUAGCCACGACUAACUACGUGCCAGCAGCCGCGGUAAUACGUAGGUGCCGAGCGUUUUCCGGAAUUACUGGGUGUAAAGGGAGCGCAGGUGGGUAGGUAAGUCAGCUGUGAAAGUUUCAGGCUUAACUGUAAGACUGCAGUUGAAACUGGUUGUCUUGAGUGAAGUAGAGGUAGGCGGAAUUCGUGGUGUAGCGGUGAAAUGCGUAGAUAUUAGGAAGAACUCCGAUGGCGAAGGCAGCCAACUAAGCUUUAACUGACGCUGAGGCUCGAAAGUGUGGGGAGCAAACAGGAUUAGAUACCCGAGUAGUC
rnacentral:rRNA from 1 species